UAUCUCUGUAGAGUCUGCAUAUCAAUAAGCGGAGGAAAAGAAACUAACAAGGAUUCCCCUAGUAACGGCGAGUGAAGCGGGAAGAGCUCAAAUUUGAAAUCUUCAAGGUUCUACCUUGACGAAUUGUAGUUUAUAAGAAGUGUUUUCUGUUAGAUGAGUAGCAAAAGUUCCUUUGGAAUAGGGACAUCAUAGAGGGUGAGAAUCCCGUAUUUGGUCAUUCCUCCUAGCUUUGUGAUACACUUUCAACGAGUCGGAUUGUUUGGGAAUGCAGUCCAAAAUGGGUGGUAAAUUUCAUCUAAAGCUAAAUAUUGGCGAGAGACCGAUAGCGAACAAGUACCGUGAGGGAAAGAUGAAAAGAACUUUGAAAAGAGAGUUAAACAGUACGUGAAAUUGUCAAAAGGGAAGCGUUUGACACCAGUGUUGUUUUUCCGAAAAUCAAUUAAAAAUAUGAUUCAUGCUCAGGUUAGUAUUGACCUUAUCAGCUUGCAUGUUAGUUUUGGGUCAUCUUUUUGAUGCACUUUUCGGUUAACAAGUCAACAUCAACUUCCUUUGCUGUAAAAAGGUAAGAGGAAGGUGGCUUCAAUUUCGGUUGAAGUGUUUAUAGCCUUUUAUCUCUGCAGUCGGGGAGAUUGAGGUCUGCAGCGUAGAUCCUUCGGGGCUAGAUACAUUUAUGCUAAGUUAUAGCUUUUCAUAGACAACUUGUUGACUAUGUUUAGUCAUGUAGCUUACUCGUAAGUGCUAUUUUACCUACGCUUAGGAUGUUGAGCGCAUGUCUCUCUCU
rnacentral:rRNA from 1 species